AUACGUAGGUGGCAAGCGUUGUCCGGAUUUACUGGGCGUAAAGGAUGCGUAGGCGGAUAUUUAAGUGAGAUGUGAAAUUCCCGGGCUUAACUUGGGAGCUGCAUUUCAAACUGGAUAUCUAGAGUGUGGGAGAGGAGAAUGGAAUUCCUAGUGUAGCGGUGAAAUGCGUAGAGAUUAGGAAGAACACCAGUGGCGAAGGCGAUUCUCUGGACCAUAACUGACGCUGAGGCAUGAAAGCGUGGGUAGCAAACAGGAUUAGAUACCCUGGUAGUCCACGCCGUAAACGAUGAGUACUAGGUGUAGGAGGGUCCAACCUUCUGUGCCGCAGUUAACACAAUAAGUACUCCGCCUGGGAAGUACGAUCGCAAGAUUAAA
rnacentral:rRNA from 1 species